UCCGUUCGAAACGCCAUUGUGUUCCGGAUUGAUAACAUUAUGCAGUGGUACAAAAUAGCUAUACACCGUUUAAUUUAACUCUUCUAACUAAGGAGAUGAAAUAGGAAUGGAAUCACCAAAACGCUUAGAAAAUAUGUCAAUUUUCUUCCUGUUUAAAGCUUUUAACUAACAUUGAUUAUCAGCUGUUUUGUACGGAAAACGUGGAAUCUAAAUAAUAUACCGUUUCCCUGCUCUGCUGCUAUUGGCAAUACAUUUUUGCAAUGUCAUCUGCAACAGACGAUCAUACAUAUGUGGCGGAUUAUCGAUAUAGAUACAGCUAGGUAGCAAUAGCAGUGGAAGCCCGGAUUUGCAAGCCAAAAUGAGGGAAAGACAGAAUUCUGAAAAGGAGCAUGUUUUUCAUUUCCACACAUGCAUGUGUAUCACUAUGGACAUCUAAUGUUUUUGUGGGAUUUUGUCCAGCAGUUUUGCCUUAAAAGAAUUUUUUUAUAUUUUAGUUUCAUAUUUAUGUGGAUUCCAAUAAAAAUCAUACAAACUUCAUUCAUGAUUUUUUUGUUUUUCAUUUCUAAACUUAAUAACAUUUCACUUUCAUAAGAAUUUUAAAACAGAAAUGUUUAAAAAUUUGAUAAAUAAGGGGUUAUCUGGAACCAGACUGAUAUUUUAAAAAUUCUCUAGAAAAUAGUGUAUUGUAUUUUGAGGUAUAUAAUUGUUGAAUACUGUGCCUAGUAUUGGUAACAAAUGCAUGCAACAAAAAUCUCCUACACUUAUUUGGUGUA